AUGGCUCAGGAUGAACGCUAGUGAUAGGCUUAACACAUGCAAGUCGAGGGCAGCACGGUGUAGCAAUACACUGGUGGCGACCGGCGUACGGGUGCGUAACACGUAUGCAACCUACCCGCUAUGGGGGAUAACCCGGCGAAAGUCGGACUAAUACCCAUAUUAUUCUUACCGGGCAUCCGGUAGGUCUGAAAGAUUUAUCGAUUGCGGAUGGGCAUGCGGAUGAUUAGCUAGUAGGUGGGGUAACGGCUCACCUAGGCGACGAUCAUUAGGGGUUCUGAGAGGAAGGUCCCCCACACUGGAACUGAGACACGGUCCAGACUCCUACGGGAGGCAGCAGUGAGGAAUAUUGGUCAAUGGGCGCUAGCCUGAACCAGCCAAGUCGCGUGAAGGAUGACAGAAUCUAUGGUUUGUAAACUUCUUUUGCAGGGGAGUAAAGUGCGACACGUGUGUUGUAUUGCAAGUACCCUGCGAAUAAGCAUCGGCUAACUCCGUGCCAGCAGCAGC
rnacentral:rRNA from 1 species